rnacentral:rRNA from 1 species
CGGGCUUAAUGGCGCCGACGACCGUGCCUCAAUUGGCUACGAAUAAGGAUGCCAUGUACGUCUGUCGAUGUGCAUCGACGCCAAUCAGGGCAUCUUUUCGUCAAAUGUUGGGUAUCCCGUCAGAAGGACGUGCGCCGUACCGACCCAGUCUCAACGGAGGUGACGGGUUAUAAGGAAUGACGACGGAGGGCAUCCUCAGACCAGGCACAGAGUCAUGGUCACACCCCCUAUUAGGAGAGUCUUGGGGAUGGGUAGUGUCGGAACCACUCGGCAAUGGAGUGGUUGUUCGAUUACCCCGCGUACGGGUAGGGCAUGGCUACUUAGAAAUUAGUGAGGCACUACGGUAUCUCAUUAUGGUACCCCAUAAUCGGGACUAAAGAGUCCCAAUAGGGGGCCAUGUCCCAUCCAACAUAUACACAAUGCGUGGGCACGCGGUGAGCAGUUCAUAAACAACGGUCCGGACAAUAACAAACUGAACGUACAUAAU